UUUAAUGUUCCUUUACCACAGCCUCCCAUAUCUGCGAGUGGGCAAGGAAUGUCACCAUUUUCCUUGGGUUUCCAUUUAGUGGAAUGAACGUAGGACGAUAGUAUAGCUAAUUGGGGAUACUAUUAAUUUACGUAAGUGAAAUAGAAGUUCCUUUGCUCUAGGAUCUGCUUGGCAGCACAUAUACACAAAUGCACAUUCAUUUAUUAGUUUUACAAUAAUAAUAAUAAGAAGUCCGUUGCCUAGAGAAUUGAUGCAAUUAAAGCUCAAAGGUCAUAUGUGGUCAUUUAGAAUAUGGGUUUUUGGAGGAAGCAAAUAGAAAGGGGAUUCCUCUGUUUCUCCAGCAGCCAUAGCCGCUAUAGAAGUUUUGAAUAUUCUGGGAACUUGAAGGACUAAAUGGAAUUUAAAGCGUUGAGUGAGGAGAUUGUUGAGACUUAUUGGGUAUCCUUGGAGAUACAUAGCCCGUUUGGGCCUACUAUGUCAUGUGGUAGGUGUUGAGUGUGCAGGUGGCAAAACUUGUGGCUAGAGGAAUAUCUUUUUGGCUCAGCUGAUAGGCUCCGUUGAUUUCAUUCCAUCGGUAGUUGCUCCAUUCUGGAUACUAAUUAUGUUCUGUCACAUUGUUAUUACUAUUGAGGAAUGCCCCGUUUACUAUUUAUUCAAUUUCAACUUUAUAGAGACAGUCUUAUAAUUUGAGUUAUGUAUUCACAUCAUGCAUAUAUUGUACAAUGAUAAGAAAGUUCAUAAACACUUUUAUAUAGAUUUUCAGAAUGUUUACUUGAA